rnacentral:rRNA from 1 species
UGACCACGAGACCGAUAGCGAACAAGUACCGUGAGGGAAAGUUGAAAAGCACUUUGAAGAGAGAGUUCAAGAGUACGUGAAACCGUUCAGGGGUAAACCUGAGAAACCCGAAAGGUCGAAAGGGGAAAUUCAUUCGCGUUUCGGUCGUCGGCUUUCGACGGGCUGUGACGGAUUCGUUCGCGUCUUCCGCUCAGUCUGUCGAUUGAACCGAUAUCGAACGCGUGCACUUUUCCCCUAGUAGGACGUUGCGAUCCGUUGGGUGUCGGUCUAAGGCUCGAGGUGGAGCCCACGUGAACGUUUCGCGGCGUUUUCGCGUGGACCCUCGAUGUCCCGGCCGACUCGCUCGACGGUAUAAUGAUGGCGCGGGGCCGCUACAUAGUUAGCGUUCGGCUCGUGGCAAGCGCGAACGGUGUUCGUCGGCGAUCGGACCUAGUGCCGAUCCUGUCCCCGUUCGACUGUUGGCCGCGAAGUUCUCGAACAGACCUCGUUGAAACGCCGAUCUGCAACGCUAUAGCUUUGGGUACUUUCAGGACCCGUCUUGAAACACGGACCAAGGAGUCUAGCAUGUGCGCGAGUCAUUGGGACAUAACUAAACCUAAAGGCGUAAUGAAAGUAAAGGUCUGCCUUGCGUAGACCGAGGGAAGAUGAGCGGUUCGCCCAAAAAGUGGCCGCUCCGCAUUCCCGGGGCGUCUCGUUCUCAUUGCGAGAAGAGGCGCACCAAGAGCGUACACGCUGGGACCCGAAAGAUGGUGAACUAUGCCUGGUCAGGACGAAGUCAGGGGAAACCCUGAUGGAGGUCCGUAGCGAUUCUGACGUGCAAAUCGAUCGUCGGAACUGGGUAUAGGGGCGAAAGACUAAUCGAACCAUCUAGUAGCUGGUUCCCUCCGAAGUUUCCCUCAGGAUAGCUGGCGCUCGUUGCGUACGAGUUUCAUCCGGUAAAGCGAAUGAUUAGAGGCAUUGGGGUCGAAACGACCUCAACCUAUUCUCAAACUUUAAAUGGGUGAGAUCUCCGGCUUGCUCGAACUCAUGAAGCCGCGAGACUCGAAUCAGAGUGCCAAGUGGGCCAUUUUUGGUAAGCAGAACUGGCGAUGCGGGAUGAACCGAAAGCGAGGUUAAGGUGCCGGAAUGCACGCUUAUCAGACACCACAAAAGGUGUUAGUUCAUCUAGACAGCAGGACGGUGGCCAUGGAAGUCGGGGUCGACUUUCUUGAUUGAAGCCGACCAUUUGGAUGUAUGAGUGCCUAGUGGGCCAGCUUUGGUAAGCAGAACUGGCGCUGUGGGAUGAACCAAACGUCGAGUUAAAGCGCCUAAAUCGACGCUUAUGGGAUACCAUGAAAGGCGUUGGUAACUUAAGACAGCAGGACGGUGGCCAUGGAAGUCGGAAUCCGCUAAGGACUGUGUAACAACUCACCUGCCGAAUGUACUAGCCCUGAAAAUGGAUGGCGCUCAAGCGUGCUACCCAUACCUCGCCGUCGGGGUAGAAACGAUGCCCCGACGAGUAGGCAGGUNNNGUCCGUCAGCGGCAUGUGCGGUAUUGUUUACGCGUUCUGCGCGUAGACGACCAUGAAGCCCUGACGAGUAGGAGGGUCGCGGCGGUGAGCGCAGAAGGGCUGGCCGUGAGGCCGUCUGGAGCCGCCGUCGGUGCAGAUCUUGGUGGUAGUAGCAAAUACUCCAGCGAGGCCCUGGAGGACUGACGUGGAGAAGGGUUUCGUGUGAACAGCCGUUGCACACGAGUCAGUCGAUCCUAAGCCCUAGGCGAAAGCCGAUGUUGAUGUGGUGUAAGUUUAUAAUAUAAAUUCGUUUUUAUAAUCGAUGAACACACCCGUCGGGCGAAAGGGAAUCCGGUUCCUAUUCCGGAACCCGGCAGCGGAACCGUCAAAAAGUCGGGCCCUCGCAAGAGAGUUCGUCGGGGCAACCCAAAAGGACCCGGAGACGCCGUCGGGAGAUCCGGGAAGAGUUUUCUUUUCUGCAUAAGCGUUCGAGUUCCAUGGAAUCCUCUAGCAGGGAGAUAUGGUUUGGAACGCGAAGAGCACCGCAGUUGCAGCGGUGUCCGGAUCUUCCCCUCGGACCUUGAAAAUCCGGGAGAGGGCCACGUGGAGGCGUCGCGCCGGUUCGUACCCAUAUCCGCAGCAGGUCUCCAAGGUGAAGAGCCUCUAGUCGAUAGAAUAAUGUAGGUAAGGGAAGUCGGCAAAUUGGAUCCGUAACUUCGGGAUAAGGAUUGGCUCUGAGGAUCGGGGCGUGUCGGGCUUGGCGAGGAAGCGGGUCGCGGCUGAAGUGCCGGGCCUGUGCGAGGUGAAGUUUCAGCGCUUCGCGGCGUUGUUACGGAUCCGAGUUCGGUCCCGUGCCUUGGCCUCCCGCGGAACCGUCUUGCUGCGAGGCCCCGGAACGCCCGCAAGGGUUUCUGGGUGUCCUCUUCGGCCGCCAUUCAACGGUCAGCUCAGAACUGGCACGGACCGAGGAAAUCCGACUGUCUAAUUAAAACAAAGCAUUCUACUGAACUUGUAUCUAUUGAUGGAUAAAUUUUGCUCAGAACUGGCACGGACCGGGGGAAUCCGACUGUCUAAUUAAAACAAAGCAUUGCGAUGGCCCCUGCGGGUGAUGACGCAAUGUGAUUUCUGCCCAGUGCUCUGAAUGUCAACGUGAAGAAAUUCAAGCAAGCGCGGGUAAACGGCGGGAGUAACUAUGACUCUCUUAAGGUAGCCAAAUGCCUCGUCAUCUAAUUAGUGACGCGCAUGAAUGGAUUAACGAGAUUCCCACUGUCCCUACCCACUAUCUAGCGAAACCACUGCCAAGGGAACGGGCUUGGAAAAAUUAGCGGGGAAAGAAGACCCUGUUGAGCUCGACUCUAGUCUGGCACUGUAAGGAGACAUGAGAGGUGUAGCAUAAGUGGGAGAUGGCAACAUCGCCGGUGAAAUACCACUACUUUCAUAGUUUCUUUACUUACUCGGUAAGGCGAAACGCGUGCGUCGUUCGCUCACGAGGCGGCGACUGUCACGGUAUUCUCGAGCCAAGGGCACGGAGUGACGUUUCGUUUCGUCGUUUCGAUGUUGGUUUAGCACGAGCGGUUCGCGCCGUCAGUGCGGCCGAUGUUGUGCGAUGUUACGUUCGUCAAUUUACCUCCAGCCUGAUUCGAUUCGAGGACACUGCCAGGCGGGGAGUUUGA